rnacentral:rRNA from 1 species
UACGAAGGGGGCUAGCGUUGCUCGGAAUCACUGGGCGUAAAGCGCACGUAGGCGGAUUGCUAAGUCAGGGGUGAAAUCCUGGAGCUCAACUCCAGAACUGCCUUUGAUACUGGCGACCUUGAGUCCGGGAGAGGUGAGUGGAACUGCGAGUGUAGAGGUGAAAUUCGUAGAUAUUCGCAAGAACACCAGUGGCGAAGGCGGCUCACUGGCCCGGUACUGACGCUGAGGUGCGAAAGCGUGGGGAGCAAAGCAGGAGU